CUUCGCGCGCGGCGCUAGAGCCCAGCCAGGGAUGGCCGGCCUUGGCGAGGGGGUGGCAGGCGAGGUCACAGCUAUCUCCAAGUCGGCUGCGGUGUGUGACGCGGCGGGGAGGAGCCUUUCCGAGAUCUGGAGCCGGGUUGACGUCAUCAGACAUAUGGUGAAGAAUGGUCUUCGCUGGGAUGACUUGUAUAUAGGAUUCCAAACCUGGCUGCAGCAGGAUCCUGACAUAGACCAUCAUCUGUUUUGGAACCAUUUUCAAAUAAAACUACCUUUAACACCACCCAACUGGAGGUCCUUCCUGAUGCACUGUGGGUAGAGCAGACCUGAGCUUCCGAGGCUGAUGGAGAUCAGCCUGUCUGGCUCAAAUUAGAUUGACAUUUCUUCCUACCACUUGGGAUGUAAUUUUACUAAAUGAAUUAAAAGUUAUGUUUCCUCACACUUACUGUUAGAAAGAUCACGUAAUAUUACUACAAAGAUAGUGUAUUCUUUGACUCAUGUGUUGAUUUAUAUGUUUAUUUAUUCCACAGACAGCUAUCCCAUCACAUGGUGUCAUAAUAAUCUGU